rnacentral:rRNA from 1 species
AGUGAACGCUGGCGGUAGGCCUAACACAUGCAAGUCGAACGGCAGCACAGUAAGAGCUUGCUCUUACGGGUGGCGAGUGGCGGACGGGUGAGGAAUACAUCGGAAUCUACUUUUUCGUGGGGGAUAACGUAGGGAAACUUACGCUAAUACCGCAUACGACCUACGGGUGAAAGCGGGGGAUCUUCGGACCUUGCGCGAUUGAAUGAGCCGAUGUCGGAUUAGCUAGUUGGCGGGGUAAAGGCCCACCAAGGCGACGAUCCGUAGCUGGUCUGAGAGGAUGAUCAGCCACACUGGAACUGAGACACGGUCCAGACUCCUACGGGAGGCAGCAGUGGGGAAUAUUGGACAAUGGGCGCAAGCCUGAUCCAGCCAUACCGCGUGGGUGAAGAAGGCCUUCGGGUUGUAAAGCCCUUUUGUUGGGAAAGAAAAGCAGCAGGUUAAUACCCCGCCGUUCUGACGGUACCCAAAGAAUAAGCACCGGCUAACUUCGUG